UUAUUUAGAUUUUGUUUAUCUAUUGGAAAAGUUUUUAGGAAUUUUGGAGCCCUUUAUGACAGGUUUUUUUUUGGAAUGUAUGUAGUAGCCAUGGCACUGUAUAUAAGGUAUAUAAAAUAUAUAUCAAAUUAUAUACAAUAUAAAUAAAAAAAAUAUAUUUAUUUAAUUUAUUUAUCAGUAACUAAAGGAAUGUUAUCAAUUUAUUAUAUGAAUCAUAAGCCUGUGCUUAUCUAUUGCAAGUACCUUUGAUGGUGAAAAUUACAUUUUUUAUCUGAAGAGAGUUGGGAGAAUUUUUCAUAUUGAAACAAGAUAUUGUGUAAAGAGGUUUUCAAAGAAGUCGUUUUAACAACAAUGGAAAAGCUUCCGAUUCCCGAGAUAAACGUGAAAGCAUUUGAUACAUGAUUAAAGAAUCGUUCAAAAGUUUG
rnacentral:lncRNA from 1 species